GAUAACAACCCAUCAGUCUACGAAGAUUUAUUUAUCAGCAAAGACCCCAGCAACUGGUUAAUGUUGAAACAGAGACGGCGACUGUGCUAGGAGCUAGAGGAUUCAAAAAUGAGCAAGAUCGUGGGGCUGCUGUUCUCCGGCAAGACCACCUUCAUCAGUGUCAUCCUGGCAGCUUCCACAUGAGGAAAGUUACUAAAGGAUAUAAAAAUGUGCUGCUAUUCAAUUUCUUGCAAAGAAAAGGAUAAUACGGUUAUCACACUGCAAUCACUUAUUUAACAUUCAAAAUCCAGAAGUUGAAGCACGUCCUGAAGUCUUCCAGUCCUUUCUGGCUAUAAUCCUAGAAUUACUGUCCAUUCCUCUGAUGUAUCUCCCAGAAUAUAAUCCUUCCUAAAUCAAAGAAAUUGUUUUUUUCAGUUUAUUUCUCGUGCACUGCUAAAGAUGUGUUAUCUCUAAUCCUUCAUAAAGAAUCAACUAGAGUUAUCAUGAUAGUCAGCACAUACAAAAAGCCUUCUUAUAUGUACUUGUCUUAAACAGUGUGUAGAGCUUUUUCUAAAAAACACACUUCGAUCAUCUUAAAU
rnacentral:lncRNA from 9 species